CCUACGGGCGGCAGCAGUGGGGAAUAUUGCACAAUGGGCGCAAGCCUGAUGCAGCCAUGCCGCGUGUGUGAAGAAGGCCUUCGGGUUGUAAAGCACUUUCAGCGGGGAGGAAGGCGGUGAGGUUAAUAACCUCAUCGAUUGACGUUACCCGCAGAAGAAGCAUCGGCUAACUCCGUGCCAGCAGCCGCGGUAAUACGGAGGGUGCAAGCGUUAAUCGGAAUUACUGGGCGUAAAGCGCACGCAGGCGGUCUGUCAAGUCGGAUGUGAAAUCCCCGGGCUCAACCUGGGAACUGCAUUCGAAACUGGCAGGCUAGAGUCUUGGAGAGGGGGGUAGAAUUCCAGGUGUAGCGGUGAAAUGCGUAGAGAUCUGGAGGAAUACCGGUGGCGAAGGCGGCCCCCUGGACAAAGACUGACGCUCAGGUGCGAAAGCGUGGGGAGCAAACAGGAUUAGAUACCCCAGUAGUC
rnacentral:rRNA from 1 species